rnacentral:RNase_P_RNA from 2 species
UCAGUCGGUCGGGCAGCCGCGCUUGUUCGGUGUUAAAAAGUUCAGGUGAGGAAAGUCCGGGCUCCAUGGAAAAACGGUGCCGGGUAACACCCGGCGGGGGUGACCCUAGGGAAAGUGCCACAGAAAGCAAACCGCCUGUUUUUACAGGUAAGGGUGAAAGGGUGGGGUAAGAGCCCACCGCGCGUUCAGUAAUGAGCGUGGCAAGGUAAACCCCACCGGGAGCAAGACCGAAUAGGAAUGACGCGCAAGGUUCGACUUGCAGCCAGUUUCCAGGCAAGUCGUUCGGGUAGGUUGCAUGAGGCGGAUGGUGACAUCCGUCCUAGAUGAAUGGCUGCCAUGUAAAGCUUAUGAGCUUUAUCAUACAGAACCCGGCUUAUAGACCGACUGAUAUC